UCCUAGGGGGAAUGUCUGGAAAAGACCAUUCUGAUCCUCAAGGAGCUUCCAAUUAAAUGAGUGAAACAGCCUCUAAACAAGCUGCUGGAACCUGGGGUGCUGACAGCAACAUCAUGCGUCACACUGUGCAUCGUAGUCAUCUCCUUAAAUCCUCAAGACAAUCUGGUACAAUUGGUAUUAUUGCCGUCAUCUUACAGAUCAGAAAACCAAGGAAUGGAGUAGCUUAGAUUCCAUUCUACUCAAAAAUGGAAUCAAGCUCCGGUGGAACCCAAAGUCCGUGCUGUUAACUUCUAUGCUGAUGUGGGACAUGAAAUUCCAGGGAUCGAUUUUGAAACAAGCCAGGCAGAGAGACCUAGCUGCGGAACCCUCUGAUUAGGGGGAGUUAGGAGCAGUUAGCCCACCACUACCGCAGUCAGGAUGAUGCAAACCGGUCCUCCAGACAGGCGAUGACUCAAGAUAACAAGACCUCCUGCUGCACCACUCCUGCAUGUUUCCCUCACCUUUUUCCUUCUUAAACCCCUUCACUCAGCCCAAAAAGUUAGAAUGGUCUUUCAGAGGCAUGGGCCUGGCCAUUCCCCAACUGCUAGUAUUUGAAUAAAGUUGCUUUCCUUUCACCACAA